CCUACGGGAGGCAGCAGUAAGGAAUAUUGGACAAUGGAGGCAACUCUGAUCCAGCCAUGCCGCGUGAGUGAAGAAGGCCUUCGGGUUGUAAAGCUCUUUCGGCCGGGAAGAAAUCGUGUUCUCUAACAUAGGACAUGGAUGACGGUACCGGACUAAGAAGCACCGGCUAACUACGUGCCAGCAGCCGCGGUAA
rnacentral:rRNA from 1 species